UAAGUACUCCCUCCGUCCGGAAAUACUUGUCGGAGAAAUGGAUGUAUCUAGAUGUAUUUUAGUUCUAGAUACAUCCAUUUUUAUUCAUUUCUCCGACAAGUAUUUCUGGACGGAGGGAGUAAUAU
rnacentral:pre_miRNA from 1 species